AAAUUGAAGAGUUUGAUCAUGGCUCAGAUUGAACGCUGGCGGCAGGCCUAACACAUGCAAGUCGAGCGGUAGCACAGGAGAGCUUGCUCUCCGGGUGACGAGCGGCGGACGGGUGAGUAAUGUCUGGGAAACUGCCUGAUGGAGGGGGAUAACUACUGGAAACGGUAGCUAAUACCGCAUAACGUCGCAAGACCAAAGAGGGGGACCUUCGGGCCUCUUGCCAUCAGAUGUGCCCAGAUGGGAUUAGCUAGUAGGUGGGGUAACGGCUCACCUAGGCGACGAUCCCUAGCUGGUCUGAGAGGAUGACCAGCCACACUGGAACUGAGACACGGUCCAGACUCCUACGGGAGGCAGCAGUGGGGAAUAUUGCACAAUGGGCGCAAGCCUGAUGCAGCCAUGCCGCGUGUAUGAAGAAGGCCUUCGGGUUGUAAAGUACUUUCAGCGGGGAGGAAGGUGUUGUGGUUAAUAACCACAGCAAUUGACGUUACCCGCAGAAGAAGCACCGGCUAACUCCGUGCCAGCAGCCGCGGUAAUACGGAGGGUGCAAGCGUUAAUCGGAAUUACUGGGCGUAAAGCGCACGCAGGCGGUCUGUCAAGUCGGAUGUGAAAUCCCCGGGCUCAACCUGGGAACUGCAUUCGAAACUGGCAGGCUAGAGUCUUGUAGAGGGGGGUAGAAUUCCAGGUGUAGCGGUGAAAUGCGUAGAGAUCUGGAGGAAUACCGGUGGCGAAGGCGGCCCCCUGGACAAAGACUGACGCUCAGGUGCGAAAGCGUGGGGAGCAAACAGGAUUAGAUACCCUGGUAGUCCACGCCGUAAACGAUGUCGACUUGGAGGUUGUGCCCUUGAGGCGUGGCUUCCGGAGCUAACGCGUUAAGUCGACCGCCUGGGGAGUACGGCCGCAAGGUUAAAACUCAAAUGAAUUGACGGGGGCCCGCACAAGCGGUGGAGCAUGUGGUUUAAUUCGAUGCAACGCGAAGAACCUUACCUACUCUUGACAUCCAGAGAACUUUCCAGAGAUGGAUUGGUGCCUUCGGGAACUCUGAGACAGGUGCUGCAUGGCUGUCGUCAGCUCGUGUUGUGAAAUGUUGGGUUAAGUCCCGCAACGAGCGCAACCCUUAUCCUUUGUUGCCAGCGGUCCGGCCGGGAACUCAAAGGAGACUGCCAGUGAUAAACUGGAGGAAGGUGGGGAUGACGUCAAGUCAUCAUGGCCCUUACGAGUAGGGCUACACACGUGCUACAAUGGCGCAUACAAAGAGAAGCGACCUCGCGAGAGCAAGCGGACCUCAUAAAGUGCGUCGUAGUCCGGAUUGGAGUCUGCAACUCGACUCCAUGAAGUCGGAAUCGCUAGUAAUCGUAGAUCAGAAUGCUACGGUGAAUACGUUCCCGGGCCUUGUACACACCGCCCGUCACACCAUGGGAGUGGGUUGCAAAAGAAGUAGGUAGCUUAACCUUCGGGAGGGCGCUUACCACUUUGUGAUUCAUGACUGGGGUGAAGUCGUAACAAGGUAACCGUAGGGGAACCUGCGGUUGGAUCACCUCCUUACCUUAAAGAA
rnacentral:rRNA from 1 species